rnacentral:rRNA from 1 species
GAUCCUGGCUCAGAAUCAACGCUGGCGGCGUGCCUAACACAUGCAAGUCGAACGCGAAAGGGGAGCAAUCCCUGAGUAGAGUGGCAAACGGGUGAGUAACACGUGGGUGACCUGCCUCAGAGUGGGGGAUAACGUCCCGAAAGGGACGCUAAUACCGCAUAACAUCCUGCCUUUGGAAAGGCGGAGAUCAAAGCCGGGGAUCGCAAGACCUGGCGCUUGGAGAGGGGCCCGCGUCUGAUUAGCUAGUUGGUAGGGUAAUGGCCUACCAAGGCGACGAUCAGUAUCCGGCCUGAGAGGGCGGACGGACACACUGGGACUGAGACACGGCCCAGACUCCUACGGGAGGCAGCAGUGGGGAAUUGUUCGCAAUGGGCGCAAGCCUGACGACGCAACGCCGCGUGGAGGAUGAAGAUCUUCGGGUCGUAAACUCCUGUCGAGCGGGAAGAACACUUUUCGGGCGAAUAUCCCGAGAAGCUGACGGUACCGCUAAAGGAAGCCCCGGCUAACUCCGUGCCAGCAGCCGCGGUAAUACGGGGGGGGCAAGCGUUGUUCGGAAUUACUGGGCGUAAAGGGCUCGUAGGCGGCCAACUAAGUCAGACGUGAAAUCCCCAGGCUCAACCUGGGAACUGCGUCUGAUACUGGAUGGCUUGAAUCCGGGAGAGGGAUGCAGAAUUCCAGGUGUAGCGGUGA